CCCCCCCAUAGACUCAUGUGUUUGAACAAGGUUAUGAGGGUCAGGGAGUGGAAUGUGGUAAUUUGAAUAGGUUUGGCCACCAUAGAAAGUGGCACUAUUAGGUGUGGCCUUAUUGGAGUAGCUGUGGCCUUGAUGGAGGAGGUGUGUCACUCUGCGUGUGGGCUUUGGGGUCUCUCAUGCUCAAGCUCUGCCCAGUGUGGAGUCAGAGCCUCUUUCUGGUUACCUGUGGGGGACAGUCCCCUUCUACUACCUGCAGAUGGAGAUUUAGAACUCUUAGGUCCUCCAGCACUAUGUCUGCCUAGAUGUUGCCAUGUUUCCCACCAUGAUGAUAAUGGACUGAACCUCUGAAACUGUAAGCCAGCCCCAAUAACAUGUUUACCUUUAUAAGAGUUGUCUUGAUCAUGGUGUCUCUUCACAGCAAUGGAACUAAGACACAAGUACACAUAAAUAAAAGUAAAAUAA
rnacentral:lncRNA from 1 species